UCCUGGCUCAGGAUGAACGCUGGCUACAGGCUUAACACAUGCAAGUCGAGGGGAAACGACGGGGAAGCUUGCUUCCUUGGGCGUCGACCGGCGCACGGGUGAGUAACGCGUAUCCAACCUGCCUCUGACUGAGGGAUAACCCGUCGAAAGUCGGCCUAAUACCUCAUGGCAUCGUCUGCGGGCAUCCAACGACGAUUAAAGAUUUCAUCGGUCAGGGAUGGGGAUGCGUCUGAUUAGCUGGUUGGCGGGGUAACGGCCCACCAAGGCUACGAUCAGUAGGGGUUCUGAGAGGAAGGUCCCCCACAUUGGAACUGAGACACGGUCCAAACUCCUACGGGAGGCAGCAGUGAGGAAUAUUGGUCAAUGGGCGAGAGCCUGAACCAGCCAAGUAGCGUGCAGGAAGACGGCCCUAUGGGUUGUAAACUGCCUUUAUGCGGGGAUAAAGUGAGGGACGUGUCCUUCAUUGCAGGUACCGCAUGAAUAAGGACCGGCUAAUUCCGUGCCAGCAGCCGCGGUAAUACGGAAGGUCCUGGCGUUAUCCGGAUUUAUUGGGUUUAAAGGGAGCGUAGGCCGUGGAUUAAGCGUGUUGUGAAAUGCAGGUGCUCAACGUCCGCACUGCAGCGCGAACUGGUCCACUUGAGUGUGCGCAACGCAGGCGGAAUUCGUCGUGUAGCGGUGAAAUGCUUAGAUAUGACGAAGAACUCCGAUUGCGAAGGCAGCUUGCGGGAGCACAACUGACGCUGAAGCUCGAAAGUGCGGGUAUCGAACAGGAUUAGAUACCCUGGUAGUCCGCACGGUAAACGAUGGAUGCCCGUUGUCAGGCUGUUUCAGCCUGGUGACCAAGCGAAAGCAUUAAGCAUCC
rnacentral:rRNA from 1 species